rnacentral:rRNA from 1 species
AUUGAACGCUGGCGGCAGGCCUAACACAUGCAAGUCGAACGGCAGCGGGGGGUAGCUUGCUACCCUGCCGGCGAGUGGCGGACGGGUGAGUAAUGCCUGGGGAGCUGCCCAAUCGAGGGGGAUACCAGUUGGAAACGACUGCUAAUACCGCAUACGCCCUGAGGGGGAAAGGUGGGGAUCUUCGGACCUACCGCGAUUGGAUGCACCCAGGUGGGAUUAGCUAGUUGGUGAGGUAACGACUCACCAAGGCGACGAUCUCUAGCUGGUCUGAGAGGAUGACCAGCCACACUGGAACUGAGACACGGUCCAGACUCCUACGGGAGGCAGCAGUGGGGAAUAUUGCACAAUGGGGGAAACCCUGAUGCAGCCAUGCCGCGUGUGUGAGGAAGGCCUUAGGGUUGUAAAGCACUUUCAGCGAGGAGGAAAGGUGGCUAGCUAAUACCUAGUUGCUGUGACGUUACUCGCAGAAGAAGCACCGGCUAACUCCGUGCCAGCAGCCGCAGUAAUAC